rnacentral:rRNA from 1 species
AGAGAGAGACAUGCGCGCAUAUCAAUAAGCGGAGGAAAAGAAACUAACAAGGAUUCCCCUAGUAACGGCGAGUGAAGCGGGAAGAGCUCAAAUUUGAAAUCUUAAAGGGUUUCCCUUUACGAAUUGUAGUUUAAAGAAGUGUUUUCUGUUGAGGUUUUGGUAAAAGUUCUUGGAAUAGGACAUCAUAGAGGGUGAGAAUCCCGUAUUUGACCUUUACUUUCAACUUUGUGGAUACACCUUUCAAAGAGUCGGAUUGUUUGGGAAUGCAGUCCAAAAUGGGUGGUAAAUUUCAUCUAAAGCUAAAUAUUGGCGAGAGACCGAUAGCGAACAAGUACCGUGAGGGAAAGAUGAAAAGAACUUUGAAAAGAGAGUUAAACAGUACGUGAAAUUGUCAAAAGGGAAGCGUUUGACACCAGUGUUGUUUUUCUGAAAAUCAAUUAAAGAACUGUUUAUGCUAAGCUGUUUAGACUUUAUCAGCUAUACUGUUUAGUUUUGAGCUUUUCUUUAAUGCACUUUUCAGUUAACAAGUCAACAUCAAUUUCUUUUGCUGUAAAAAAGCUUGAGGAAGGUGGCUUGAGAUUCGUCUUAAGUGUUUAUAGCCUCUUGCCUAUGCAGUCGGAGAGAUUGAGGUCUGCAGCGUAGAUCCUUCGGGGCUAAAUGCAUUUGUGCUAAGUUAUAGCAUUUUAUAGACAACUUGUUGACUAUGAUUUGUCUUGUAGCUUACUCGCUUAUGUUAUUUUACCUACGCUUAGGAUGUUGACGCAUGAGAUAUACGC